UGAAAAAUGACCCCACUGUCAAACGUGUUGACCUGGAGGAAGGACAUGUCAUCAUCUACCUAGAUGGGCUCAAGCAGAAGGAAACGAAGACGUACAGCCUGGCCAUAGAGGAGGAUGUGCCUGUGAGGAAUCUGAAACCAGCUGUGGUGAAAGUGUAUGACUACUACCAGACAAGUGAUGAAGCUGUGAGUGAAUACAGCUCCCCGUGUGCAGAGUAGGUACAUAACAAACUACAUUUCUAAUACUUUCAUUUCACAAACUGAAAUUUGUCAUAUCUAAAUUUGUCAGUUAAGCUAUGAGUAAAAUCCUAGGCAAAG
ensembl:lncRNA